GAAGGGAGCUUGCUCCCGGAUGUUAGCGGCGGACGGGUGAGUAACACGUGGGUAACCUGCCUGUAAGACUGGGAUAACUCCGGGAAACCGGAGCUAAUACCGGAUAGUUCCUUGAACCGCAUGGUUCAAGGAUGAAAGACGGUUUCGGCUGUCACUUACAGAUGGACCCGCGGCGCAUUAGCUAGUUGGUGGGGUAAUGGCUCACCAAGGCGACGAUGCGUAGCCGACCUGAGAGGGUGAUCGGCCACACUGGGACUGAGACACGGCCCAGACUCCUACGGGAGGCAGCAGUAGGGAAUCUUCCGCAAUGGACGAAAGUCUGACGGAGCAACGCCGCGUGAGUGAUGAAGGUUUUCGGAUCGUAAAGCUCUGUUGUUAGGGAAGAACAAGUGCGAGAGUAACUGCUCGCACCUUGACGGUACCUAACCAGAAAGCCACGGCUAACUACGUGCCAGCAGCCGCGGUAAUACGUAGGUGGCAAGCGUUGUCCGGAAUUAUUGGGCGUAAAGGGCUCGCAGGCGGUUUCUUAAGUCUGAUGUGAAAGCCCCCGGCUCAACCGGGGAGGGUCAUUGGAAACUGGGAAACUUGAGUGCAGAAGAGGAGAGUGGAAUUCCACGUGUAGCGGUGAAAUGCGUAGAGAUGUGGAGGAACACCAGUGGCGAAGGCGACUCUCUGGUCUGUAACUGACGCUGAGGAGCGAAAGCGUGGGGAGCGAACAGGAUUAGAUACCCUGGUAGUCCACGCCGUAAACGAUGAGUGCUAAGUGUUAGGGGGUUU
rnacentral:rRNA from 1 species